CUAGCACUGACUUUUUAAUUUAAACUUUUCCUAUUGAAGAUGUGUAACAGGUGGUUAAUAGUAUUUAUAGGACAGUGUGGGCAAUCAUGAAUCAAAAAAAUGUCUCCCCAAAUUAAUGUGUUGAAAUUUACAACAAGGAGCUAAUGCAGAAGGCAACCAAGUGCAGACUCUAAGGACAUAGUUGGCCUCGAGUUUCACUCGGUAGUGCAGAGCCAGGGAGCGGUUGUCAGGCACGCUGUUUCAUUUCAGGCCUCUGUGAGUUCAGAGAGGAAAAUUUCCAUCUGCGAGGUUUUGCAGGAGAGCAAACAGUCCUGAGUUUUGCUAGUUCAGCAGAUUUAGCCAUGUGAGGUGACGAGCUGGUUGAUCAUUCAAGCUUUAAGGGCACAAAGCUUGAACUCUGUCUCUCUCUUUUUUUCUGGCUGUGCUGCUCGGCUUGUGGGAUCUUAGUUCCCCAACCAGGGAUUGAACAUGGGCCACUGCAGUGAAAGCUCCAAGUCCUAACCACUGGACUGCCAGGGAAUUCCUGCUUGAACUCUGAGAGGAAACUAGAAAAAUAAAGAACACUUAGAAGAAUAUUGUGCCAACCUCAGCUGAAAAGACAAGGCGUUGUCUUCUCAGUUUCUCUUUUUCUCCACCAUAAGACUAUGUCUUGCCAAGAGGAGCAGUGUCUCACUCUUCUCUGCGCCCAUAUGGCCUAGAACUGGCAUAAACUCAGGAGGGGCUGGAUGGACGCAUGGGUGAAUGGGCCCGGGAUUGGUCUACAUUGAUUCCGUGUUCCCGACAUGUGUGAUAUCCUUCCAGCACAUUCGUAUUACCUGGGAACUUGGUAGAAAUGCAGAUUUGGGGGCCGCACUGCAGACUAAUGAAUCAGAAACUCUGAGGCUGGAGUUGGGCAGGUGGUUCCCAGGCCUGCAAAGGUUGAGUACCAUGGCUGUUCUCUCUCAUCUGGCCCCGUCCUGCCACCUAGUGGAAUUCUUGAGAAUAGCAUCUGGUGAUGAGUAGGACAGAAUUCUGUUGCUGUUGAAUAAAAUUGAAUUAGACUUCCUGGUGGCUCAGACGGUGAAGAAUCUGCCUGCAAUGCAGGAGACCUGGGUUCAAUCCCUGGGCUGGGAAGAUCCCCUGCAGAAGGGAAUGGCUACCCACUCCAGUAUUCUUGCCUGGAGAAUUCCGAGGAUAGAGGGGCCUGGUGGGUUAUAUUCCAUGGGGUUGCAAAGAGUCGGACACACCUGAGUGACUGACAUAGCAAGGACUUUCUUACGCUUAAAGUUACAGCCACUCUGAGUUCUAAAACUAGAAUUGCCUUCUACUUUACAUGCAGUUACUGUAAGGCAUUUCAUGUCAAAACAUCAGCACGCAGACUGCAUAAACUCUUCCCUAUUGUUUUAUAAAUACCUUUAAUUUUGUUCAGAAUUUCUCUUAUCAUACACUAGAAUAAUACACAGCUAUCAAAUAGUGCUGUGAAGAAUAACUUGGGAAAUGCAAGAGCAAGGUAAAACAAAUUUAAAAAGGUGCACACCAUGAUUCAAUAUCUUGUAAAAACCUAUAAGGGAGAAGAAUCUGGGAAAAAAACAUGUGUUUGUGUGUGUGAGAGAGAGAAUCACUUUGCCGUAUACCUGAAGCUAACCCACCAUUGUAAAUUAACCAUACCUAAUUAAAAGAAAAGAAAAUUGUAAUCCAAAAAUAAAAAAUACACAUGGACCUUUCUCAGAUCUAUUUUAUGUCAUUGCAAUAAAUGAACCAUGUAGCAUUUGCAAAGUUUCUGUGAGAAAUUUUAACCCCGAAAUUGUGGCUGCCUGCUGUUUAAAGUUGCUACUAAACAGCAGAGAACAACUUGCCUAGUUAACCUGCCAGAAAUGAAAUAAAGGAAUCUUGACUGAACAAG
ensembl:lncRNA